AAACACAAUCCGGCACAACUGAAGUUGGCACCCACUGACGUUUAGUUUCGCAGACGAACGUUUUAACGGGUUCGCCAUCGGUGAAUCUAAAUCCAGGACUACACGUGGCAAUACAUUGAAUUCCUCGAUCGCCAGGUGCUGUACCGUUCCAAGUCCCACUGGAAGUACAAAGAAGUGACGAGAAUCCAGACAUGACAAAUCCAAAGUCACACUGGAACUGAACAAUAUCUCCAAAGUGAUGCUGGAUCCUGUAUGGAAGUGAAGAAGGACGAAUAAGGGAUUAGAAGAUACAAGAAGAUAUAUCUAAGUUUGGAUUUUUUAACUUUUCGGUACAUAUUCUGCAGACUAAGGGGUCAAAUGGUUCAAGAUUAGUUCUAAUUGGUUCAAUAAGCCGUUUUGGUAUGUUUUAUAACGAUGUAGAAAAUGAAACACAAAAACUAUGUACGUAAAUAUAAACAGUCUAUUUAUUUAAUUCCACAGCCAUUAAAUCAUAGUAAUAUCUUAAUU